ACCAGCCCUGGCUGGAGGGGGCUGUGUGAGCUGUGGCCGCACAGUGCCCCAUGGUAGUUAGGGUGCUGUGCGGCCAGUACAGCUCACACAAGCAAACAGCUGAUAAACUGGCCGCACGGAGGAAAAGUGGGGCGGAGCUAAGCAAAAUCGGAGGUGGAGCCAAACUGGUGCUGGGGGCUGGGCUUUUGGGGGGGCAAGGGGGUGCCAACCACAGGAUCUGCCCCGGGUGCCAAAUGCUCUAGG